UAGCCUGCUCACCCACAAGCCGUGGAGUAGUUACAGACAUCAGGAAAGCUCGGGAGUUCCAGAGGCAGCUGCUACAGCAGCCUGAUGGGAAGGGAGGGGAAAGGAAAACGUAGCCCAAAAUAGAAAAGUGUGCUUUAAGUGGAUAAUGGCUGAGCAGAUCCCUGCUGUCCGAAGCUGCUUCUCUCCAGAGCCACCUUUUAGCGAUUUGAUUUCACCGCUAAACUGUUUGCCCGGAAACACAGCCUUGGAUUCCCAUGAGCCUCUGCUUCCAUAACAAACUUGUCAACUGAUCAACGCCUAACCUUUCCCACUGGUGCUUCUGUUGAAGAGCUCUUUAUUGAGUACUCACUGCCGACACCCCCACUAGUAGCUCAUGCUACAGCGUGCACACUUUAAUUCUGUGAGGAAGAGAUUCUGCUCUUGGUGCUGACAUCACGGGUUCACCAUCUAAAAGAGACAACAACAGACCUCCAGGAAACAGCUGUGAGGAUUUAACGUUGGGAUAUAAAAAUAAAAUGAACAAAUACUGGGGAAAAAAGGUACACAUUUGUGUAGCGCUGGUUAGCACUUAUUUAUGUAGCACCUGUUAGGAGAGAACUCCUCACACAGACUAGGUAACUCAAGCAUCAUGAAGUGAAAAUGUUUCAGUCCCACAAUUUCUUCCAUUUAUGGCAAAGACAAAUCUUGUCGUCAGAAUAUGAGCAAUAGCCCAGAAGGUGUAUCUCAAAUCAAUAUUGUAAUUAUUGGGGUUCACCUAACCCCCAUACUUGAAAUAUUCUGAGUAUUUGGGUUCUGUCUGGGAGUGACUGUCUCCUACACUCUUUCUGGUCUCCCUGGUGACCUUCUUCAGCCGCAGCCACCACCUCCUAUCUCCAGGCCUGGAGAGCACGAGAACUCAUUCUCAGCAGCCCCUGUGUCUCCAGGAGCUCCCGUGUGAUCCCAAGGCACCAAGUGUUUCCCACACCUCUACAAUUCCACUCAUACCUUUGCCACUUCCUGAGAGACAAAUCCGUGCUUCCAACGACCAGCUGGCACCUUCCUAUUGGCACUGCAAUCUCAGCGAGUUCAAGGAAACUUUGGGUGUCCAUUCUUGUCUGCUCUAUACCGGUGACAUUCGUCUUAGUAACUAACACAAGCUUUUGUCCAAACCCCAAACCCAAGACUUAUCCUGGCUGCUGUAAAAAAAAACAAAAACAAUCUAACCUUCCAUGUCCAACCUAGAAAAAUGGCUUUGCUGUGU